UUCAAAGACGAGAUAGCAUGGAAAAAUUCUUGCUUCCGACAUCUGCUGACACUUUUGGGUGGGCUAGAAGACAUGGAUAGCAUAUAAAUAUUCUUGCUACAUGAAUUCAAAUCCUUAACGCUCAUGGUAGAAGUGUCAUUU